UACGUUCCCGGGUCUUGUACACACCGCCCGUCACACCACGAGAAUCGGUUGAACUGGAAGUAGGUGAUCUAACCGUAAGGAGGAAACCUACCAAGGUUUGCCCGGUGAUUGGGGUG
rnacentral:rRNA from 1 species